rnacentral:lncRNA from 1 species
CAGCAGAUUAAAUUAUUACGGAUCAACUAUAAUCGAAGGUUGAGUAUUCUCCUGAACAUCUUCUUGAGAAAAUGGUGUAGGUAGAGGAUGAUUUUGUGCCUUCUUGUUUAUCAUUUUCAUAAAAUCUUUUGCCCUCCUUUUAGCAUCAAUCUGUUAUCGUAAGGCUUCGAAAGGAAGAAGAUGAGAUCGGUGUGAGAUCGAACUAGGAUCUAUUAAAGAUCAAGUCGAUGCAAGCCAUGAGUAAAUCUGUAAAAAAAGUUCUAGGACUAGUGGGUUAUCCU